ensembl:lncRNA
CCGGUCAGCCCUGAGAGCACAGGUGAAGGCAAUUCAACUGUGUGAGUGGGAGGGAUGGAGCCUGGCUCCACCUCUCUUAGACCCCAUUUAAGGGCUGACUGCCACUGUGGAAGGAUCUCUGGUUGGAGAUCCUUCUCUUGUAGAGUCUUUCCUGUGAGCCUUGAUCUUCAGAGAUGGUGCAACUCUCCACAAUACAGAGUGAGACUUUCGUGUCUGUGUGUGUUCCUGGCAUGUCCAACACGGCUACUGAUUUCAAGAGGAGCUCAAGGAAUGUGCAGUGGGCUUUUGUCACCUCACCUUUCCAGAUGUUUCUUAAGAACUAAGCAGUUACUUAUCAAGUUGAUUUCUCCCACCUCUCCCAGUUUUCAACAGCUGAAGAAGGCAUGUAGUGUUAGAGAGUCUUACGGUGUGGGAAACUGUCUUUUGACCAGCAAUUCAACACUAUGGAAAAGGAGCUUUACAAAAAUCUAUACCUUAACAAAGGCCUAGCGUGCAAAUGUAACAAGUAAGUCAAUGUGGCAUAAACCCUGUGAGAAAUACUAUGCAUUCUAGAG